GUUCGCUAUUACCGGAUCAGUCACAACAAUUUGACAAGACUCGGUAUCGGUGGUGAAUACAAGAUCCAAGUAGGUGCUGUUUGCGUUCGGCAAAUCGCAAAUUUGCAUCAGUCCAGCUGACAGCAAACCAUCAACAAUGGCAGCUUCACUCUGAGAAGUAAUUCGAUCAGUUUGACAGGUUGAAAUCCCCACAAACGACGACCGUAUCAUUCGGACCAGCGGCUUCAACCAUAGACUCAACAAAAACGACGAACGAAUUGUAACGACGAGUGUUAGAGCUCGGGCAAACUCCGUGCUGGCGAUUCGACGAUGGAUGGCAACAAGUGCACCACCACCAGUUAGUUUGUCACUGUUGACCGAACUUCGAUCGCAGCGGUAAACGGAAAAACAAGCGGGAAACAACAUACCAUCCUGUACGUCAGAGUCCAAAUAAGUUUCAACCAUUGCGUAUGCAUCGUAGUCCAACUCCAGUGAUGACAAAUACAAGAUUUCUCACAGACGAACUAACGGUAUCACGACCAGCCUCAUCGAACGCGAAGGUGUAAAAAUCUCGCCCUGAACGAUAUCAUUAUUACAAAGCAACGGUCGGCCGGUUAGGAGCUGCGAGUGGCGUGGUGACACAACCGUGAAACUGAAAGGGUUCAAUUUGCGGCGGAUGAUCUCGAGCAAUUAUGCUUCCCCGAUCGACACCCACGAACUCUCGAAAAUAAAUUCCCUUCUGCCAGCUCGCUGGUUGCAUUGCUUUUUCCUUCCAUUUCAAUCCCAAACCCACUUUGAACGAUACAAAUGAAAGCUGUUUGAGAUCAACACCCCUUUUG